GUUUGAUAAUAAAAGACUUUGUCAACUUCAUUUUUCCAAACCUUUCCCUUCUUUGUGUUUCCAACAGGAAGAAUAUCAAGAGCCCUUAAGAGACUUCUAUUUACUCUACGAAGUUAUUGAUAAAACCCUCAUUUUUUAGUCAAGAUUGCAAAGAAAAUUCAUUUCAGUUCUACAUUUGGUGCCAAGCGUUGUUAGUUGCAGAUAAAUAAGAUAGAAUCCAGCUCUUAAGAAAUUC
rnacentral:lncRNA from 1 species